UCUUGAUAGCGUUUGUAUGCUUUGUCCUGAAGGGAACUACUCAGCAGCAUAUAUGUAAUAAGGCUUCAUUAAUUACUUCUUUAUAAAAGGCAGUUUAUGUUGCUAGAUGCAGACACACCUGCGUGACGUGAAACCCCCUGGAGCCAGCCACCUAUGGACCAGAGCAAGGGAUUCUUCAAGAUGAGUCAGAACAAGGCCUUCAUAUCAUAGAUCUUGCCAAGGUUUGAUGAGUAUGGUGACAGGCAAAUAGUGGCUGGUACUCACUUCCUUCCGUCUGCCAUUCUGGCUUUGAUGCCGAGGUACUUGGUCUGUGGCACCCAAGAGCUUCUGGCUGUGGUAAU